rnacentral:tRNA from 1 species
UAGGAUUAUAUUUAAUUAUAAUAAUUAAUUUGCAAUUAAUAGGUACUGAGUCAGUUAAUCUU